rnacentral:rRNA from 1 species
UACAGAGGGGGCAAGCGUUGUUCGGAAUUACUGGGCGUAAAGGGCGCGUAGGCGGCCUUCUAAGUCGAACGUGAAAUCCCCGGGCUCAACCCGGGAACUGCGUCCGAUACUGGAAGGCUUGAAUUCGGGAGAGGGAUGCGGAACUCCAGGUGUAGCGGUGAAAUGCGUAGAUAUCUGGAGGAACACCGGUGGCGAAGGCGGCAUCCUGGACCGGCAUUGACGCUGAGGCGCGAAAGCCAGGGGAGCAAACGGG